rnacentral:rRNA from 1 species
UGGCAGACGGGUGAGUAACACGUGGGAACAUACCUUCGGUUCGGGAUAACUCAGGGAAACUUGAGCUAAUACCGGAUACGUCCGCGAGGAGAAAGAUUCAUCGCCGGAGGAUUGGCCCGCGUCUGAUUAGCUUGUUGGUGAGGUAAUGGCUCACCAAGGCGACGAUCAGUAGCUGGUCUGAGAGGAUGAUCAGCCACAUUGGGACUGAGACACGGCCCAA